rnacentral:tmRNA from 1 species
GGGGAUGAAAGGAUUUCGACGGGGAUUUUGAACCUUAAUUAGAGAGUGGCGGAAAACUCUUUAAAAGCCGCAAAAUUAAAAUAACUAACAAUAACGAAGUUAAACUCGCUGCUUAAAUAGCAGCCGUCCCUGCCGGGAGGACCGCGAACCGGUUUGGGGCGUGAUUUAGCGGUGAACGCGAACGGAUGAGCGCCUUGUAAUCCGUCGUGAUUUAAAGGCUACCGUAGCAUAAAGCCUGCCGUUUGGCGUUAUGUGAGGGGAAUCCCAAAAAAGCGGAUACGCUCGUAGAAGGUUAUGGGAAUAGGUUUUCGGACGCGGUUUCGAGUACCGCCAUCUCCACCA